GGGCUGUAGGGCUGCUGGUUUGGGAGCUUUUCCUGCUCUCUGGGGUUUUUCAGGCUGUCCCGAGGAUUUGCAGAAAGGGUGAUUGAAGCCGCCUUCUCUCCCUUUAGUUGUAAAGAGGUGGCAAGGGAAUUGCGUGAUCAAAGGCUGAAAUCGCCCCCCGACCGCCUGCCUGCUUCUGAGAUCCGAAGUGGCUUCUCACACGCUGAAAUACGGCUCGGUGAAGCUGAGCCGGAGGAAGGCUGAAGUUCUCACGCUAUCUCAGGACACAGCUUGGAGAGACACGCUGGGACUCAAAAUGAGCUGGUGUAUCUUGUUUUUUACGAACACUUCAGACAACGGUGAGGGUACAGGCUGGCUGGGGAGAAACUGAGUUCAUGGGUGCCCGUAACCAGUUAUUGGAACAAAGGUUGUGCUCUGCAUGUGUCAGUUCUUGAGUCAUCUGGGCACUGAGGAGACAGCCAAGAAAGAUCUAGGAAGACAUAUUCGAAUGGUCUUAUCAGAUGCUAUGCUAAAAAGCGCAACAAUGUAAUGUGACUUGUUUGCAAGGUUUGGAAUGAAAGCAAUGAAGCAGAGCUAAUUUCAGUAAGCUGUUAUCACUGCUUUGAGUAACACGCUUGUUCAGUUAUAUCAGGCAUGGUUGUUUUGUCAUGCAUUAGCGUUUGGUCACUGUAGUAAAAGAACAUGCUGUAUAUGUAGGUGGAGGUAUAAAUACUCUUAAACUGUUGACACAGGAGCACACCACCAGUGUUUAUUGAGUUGUUAUUGCAUGCAGUGUUAUCUAGAGGCUCUAUAUUUUAUCAGUGCCCUCUUUUGUUAGGGGCUGCACGUGAGCGAUUUUUGCCUUUGCCUUAUGGUACAAGUAACCAAUACAUCCAAAUGACUGAUGUAUCCUCUUUAUAUAAAAGUCAGGGUUGGAGGAAUUAAAUGCUAUUCCUGAAGAAAUGUGGUAACCCAGAAACUGAAAAGCAUUUUUUAUUUUUUGGCUCCUAAUUUUUAAAUAUAUGAGAUGUGGUUAUUGAGGACAAUGGUAGAGCAACAUUUUGAAACACUUUUUUUGUAGUAUUAGUAGAAAGGUUUUUAUUGAUCAUAAUUUCCCCAUCAAAGCAUCU